rnacentral:rRNA from 1 species
AUACCUGUUUCGUUCCCUCGGCGGUGUCCGGCAACGGCCCGCCAGAGGACCCAACAAACUCUUUUGAAUUUUUCAGUAUCUUCUGAGUAAAAAAAACAAUAAAUCAAAACUUUCAACAACGGAUCUCUUGGUUCUGGCAUCGAUGAAGAACGCAGCGAAAUGCGAUAAGUAAUGUGAAUUGCAGAAUUCAGUGAAUCAUCGAAUCUUUGAACGCACAUUGCGCCCGCCAGUAUUCUGGCGGGCAUGCCUGUUCGAGCGUCAUUUCAACCCUCAAGCACCUUCGGGAGCUUGGUGUUGGGGAUCGGCAGGGCGUCCUCCGGGUCGCGCCGUCCCCCAAAUCUAGUGGCGGUCUCGCUGUAGCUUCCUCUGCGUAGUAAUACACCUCGCUCUGGAGUCUCGGUGCGGCCACGCCGUAAAACCCCCAACUUUUUUCUGGUUGACCUCGAAUCAGGUAGGACUACCCGCUGAACUUAAGCUU